rnacentral:rRNA from 1 species
AUUGAACGCUGGCGGAAUGCUUUACACAUGCAAGUCGAACGGCAGCACGGGAGCUUGCUCUUGGUGGCGAGUGGCGAACGGGGGAGUAAUACAUCGGAACGUACCCAGUUGUGGGGGAUAACAGAUCGAAAGAUGUGCUAAUACCGCAUACGACCCGAGGGUGCAAGGGGGGGAUCGCAAGAACUCUCGUAGUGGGAGCGGCCGAUGUCGGAUUAGCUAGGUGGUAGGGUAAAGGCUGACCAAGGCGACGAUCCGUAGCUGGUCUGAGAGGACGACCAGCCACACUGGGACUGAGACACGGCCCAGACUCCUACGGGAGGCAGCAGUGGGGAAUUUUGGACAAUGGGGGCAACCCUGAUCCAGCCAUUCCGCGUGAGUGAAGAAGGCCUUCGGGUUGUAAAGCUCUUUCGGCAGGAACGAAAAGGUGGGUCCUAAUACGAUCUGCUCAUGACGGUACCUGAAGAAGAAGCACCGGCUAACUACGUGCCAGCAGCCGCCGUAAUAC